ensembl:lncRNA
GUAGAAGUCUGAUGUCCCUUUAUACCACAGGCUGGACAGUCCAUGUCCUUACAACAGGCUGGACAGUCCAUGUCCUUACAACAGGCUGGACAGUCCAUGUCCUUACAACAGGCUGGACAGUCCAUGUCCUUACAACAGGCUGGACAGUCCAUGUCCUUACAACAGGCUGGACAGUCCAUGUCCUUACAACAGCAGGUAGAAGUCUGAUGUCCCUUUAUACCACAGGCUGGACAGUCCAUGUCCUUACAACAGGCUGGACAGUCCAUGUCCUUACAACAGCAGGUAGAAGUCUGAUGUCCCUUUAUACCACAGGCUGGACAGUCCAUGUCCUUACAACAGGCUGGACAGUCCAUGUCCUUACAACAGGCUGGACAGUCCAUGUCCUUACAACAGGCUGGACAGUCCAUGUCCUUACAACAGGCUGGACAGUCCAUGUCCUUACAACAGGAUGGACAGUCCAUGUCCUUACAACAGGCUGGACAGUCCAUGUCCUUACAACAGGCUGGACAGUCCAUGUCCUUACAACAGGCUGGACAGUCCAUGUCCUUACAACAGGCUGGACAGUCCAUGUCCUUACAACAGGCUGGACAGUCCAUGUCCUUACAACAGGCUGGACAGUCCAUGUCCUUACAACAGGAUGGACAGUCCAUGUCCUUACAACAGCAGGUAGAAGUCUGAUGUCCCUUUAUACCACAGGCUGGACAGUCCAUGUCCUUACAACAGGCUGGACAGUCCAUCUCCUUACAACAGGCUGGACAGUCCAUGUCCUUACAACAGGCUGGACAGUCCAUGUCCUUACAACAGCAGGUAGAAGUCUAAUGUCCCUUU